UGCGUAGGUGGUUGAUUAAGUUAUCUGUGAAAUUCCUGGGCUUAACCUGGGCUGGUCAGAUGAUACUGAUUGACUCGAGUAUGGGAGAGGGUAGUGGAAUUUCCGGUGUAGCGGUGAAAUGCGUAGAGAUCGGAAGGAACACCGGUGGCGAAGGCGGCUACCUGGCCUGAUACUGACACUGAGGCACGAAAGCGUGGGAGCAAACA
rnacentral:rRNA from 1 species